GUGGGGAAUCUUCCGCAAUGGACGAAAGUCUGACGGAGCAACGCCGCGUGAGUGAAGAAGGUUUUCGGAUCGUAAAGCUCUUUCGUUAGGGACGAACGUGCUCUUUGUGAAUAAUGAGGAGUAAUGACGGUACCUAAAUAAGAAGCCACGGCUAACUACGUGCCAGCAGCCGCGGUAAUACGUAGGUGGCAAGCGUUGUCCGGAAUUAUUGGGCGUAAAGCGCGCGCAGGCGGGGUAUCAAGUCUGUCUUAAAAGUGCGAGGCUCAACCUCGUGAGGGGACAGAAACUGGUAUUCUUGGGUGUCGGAGAGGAAAGUGGAAUUCCAAGUGUAGCGGUGAAAUGCGUAGAGAUUUGGAAGAACACCAGUGGCGAAGGCGACUUUCUGGACGAUGUCUGACGCUGAGGCGCGAAAGCUAGGGGAGCGAACGGGAUUAGAUACCCUGGUAGUCC
rnacentral:rRNA from 1 species